AGCAGCCGCGGUAAUUCCAGCUCCAGUAGCGUAUAUUAAAGUUGUUGCAGUUAAAAAGCUCGUAGUUGAAUUUCGGGAUCAAUACGUCGGUCGUGCUUUCGGGUACGUACUGGCGUCAUUGGUUUCUCCUUUCUGACGAACCAUGAUGUCAUUAAUUUGGUGUUAUGGGGAGUUAGGACUGUUACUUUGAAAAAAUUAGAGUGUUUAAAGCAGGCAUUAGCUUGAAUACAUUAGCAUGGAAUAAUGAAAUAGGACGUUCGAUCCUAUUUUGUUGGUUUCUAGGAUCAACGUAAUGAUUAAUAGGGAUAGUUGGGGGCAUUAGUAUUCAAUUGUCAGAGGUGAAAUUCUUGGAUUUAUUGAAGACUAACUACUGCGAAAGCAUUUGCCAAGGAUGUUUCAUUAAUCAAGAACGAAAGUUAGGGGAUCGAAGACGAUCAGAUACCGUCGUAGUCUUAACCAUAAACUAUGCGACUAGGGAUCGGAUGAUGUUUAAUUUUUUAAUGUACUCUAUUCGGCGCCU
rnacentral:rRNA from 1 species